rnacentral:rRNA from 1 species
UUACGGGAGGCAGCAGUGGGGAAUAUUGCAUAAUGGGCGAAAGCCUGAUGCAGCAACGCCGCGUGUGCGAUGAAGGCCUUCGGGUCGUAAAGCACUUUUGGGGAGGAUGAGGAAGGACAGUACUCCCCGAAUAAGCCUCGGCUAACUACGUGCCAGCAGCCGCGGUAAAACGUAGGAGGCGAGCGUUAUCCGGAUUUACUGGGUGUAAAGCGUGUGCAGGCGGUACGGUAAGUUGGAUGUGAAAGCUCCUGGCUUAACUGGGAGAGGUCGUUCAAAACUACCGAACUUGAGUAUGGGAGAGGGAGGCGGAAUUCCGGGUGUAGUGGUGAAAUGCGUAGAUAUCCGGAGGAACACCAGUGGCGAAAGCGGCCUCCUGGCCCAAAACUGACGCUCAGACACGAAAGCUAGGGGAGCGAACGGGAUUAGAUACCCCUGUAGUCC